CCCCAGGCCACCGCGGAGGUAAAUAAGAGAAGAGUCGCCUGAAAGUAAACAGGGUAUUAAAAGGCAUCCAGGAAAGCAGAGUCUGAAAGCAGGAGCACCAAGUCAGGAGCUGGGAGGUGGAGGCGUGGGUCCUUCCGCCAGGAGACAGAGGAGAGCUUUGUGCGGCGCCGGCCUCCCAUCUCCGGCUGCGGCGCGGGCCGGGGACAUGCGGGGCCCGCUCCUCUCCACGCUCCUCCUGGCUGCUCUGUCGCAGUUCUGCUGCAGGGCCCAGGGCACUGGGCUGCUCGACACGGCACCUGAAGGAAGGCCUGGAGAAGCGUCAGAAGUGCACCAUCGUAAACAGUUUUGUCACUGGCCCUGUAGAUGCCCUCGUCAGAAGCCCAGUUGCCCUCCUGGAGUGAGCUUGGUGAGAGAUGGCUGUGGAUGCUGUAAAAUCUGUGCUAAGCAACCAGGGGACACCUGCAACGAAGCUGACCUCUGUGACCCCCACAAAGGGCUGUACUGUGACUACUCAGCAGACGGGCCUAGGUACGAGACCGGAGUGUGUGCAUACCUUGUAGCUGUGGGAUGUGAGUUCAACAGGGUUCACUAUCAUAAUGGCCAAGUGUUCCAGCCCCAUCCACUGUUCAGCUGCCUCUGUGUGAGUGGGGCCAUUGGAUGCACACCUCUGUUCAUACCAAAGCUGGCUGACAGUCACUGCUCGGGGGCUAAAGGUGGAAAGAAGACUGAUCAAUCAAAAUGUGGCCUGGCAUCGUCACAACAGCAGCUUUCAACAAGCUACAAAACAAUGCCAGAUGCGUGCCAGGCUUUUAAUCUGCUUCCUGUGCUGUGGUCUUUAAACUGUUGCCUACAUUCCAGCUUAUAGGAAUCUCCCACUUAUAUGGAAAAGAAAAUGUCUUGUGCAAGCAACAAAGUGGACCCCUUGCUCCAGAACAUGUGGGAUGGGAAUAUCUAAUAGAGUAACCAAUGAAAAUAGCAACUGUGAAAUGAGAAAAGAGAAAAGACUGUGCUAUAUUCAGCCUUGUGACAGCAGUAUAUCAAACAUGGUAAAGAUCCCCAAAGGAAAAACAUGCCAACCUACUUUCCAACUCUUCAAAGCUGAGAAAUUUGUCUUCUCUGGAUGCUCAAGCACGCAGAGUUACAAACCCACUUUCUGUGGAGUAUGCUUGGAUAAGAGAUGCUGUGUCCCUAACAAGUCUAAAAUGAUUACUAUUCAGUUUGAUUGCCCAAAUGAAGGGUCAUUUAAAUGGAAGAUGCAGUGGAUUACAUCUUGUGUAUGUCAGAGAAACUGUAGAGAUCCAGGAGAUAUAUUUUCUGAGCUCAAGAUCCUAUAAAACCAAGCACAUGGGGAAAAGUUAAGGUUAAUCAUGUCAUUACAUUAAAAUUUAGGAUGGUUUUUAAAGGGUGGAAAAAUCUACUAUAUUGGCUUAAAACACUCAGAAUGCCUAGCUAGUCUCAGAUACCUGUAUUUAAGGCAUUGAAAGCUCUUAAAAAGAUUCUCCUAAAAAUAUAUGUAAACUAUGAAAACAGUAAAAUUGCACUCUUUAAAAUGUUUAAUUAUGUAAUACAGAUAUUCGUUUCCAUCUAUGUAUUCCAUAUAAUGGAAAAAUACAAUUUACAAGAGAACAUUUUAUUCUAUAAAAUCUGAAAUAAUUUAUUGAAGAUAUGCAAAAAGCAUAUUAUCUGUACUCUGACAAUGUGCCUAUGCUCCAAUCAGAUGAUAUAAUUGUUAUAGUAUGAGCAAGAGUAUAAAUUUAUUCUUAAGUAUAUUUACAGCUUAAUCUUAUUCCUAUUUACUAUUUCCACUGCCUUAUAUUUGAUUAUCAGGAUAUUUAUUAAGAUUUCUUUUGGAAGGAGAAAAAUGGAACUUUUGGCAACUGUUGACAACUGUAAUCUAAAAAUGUUUAUACCAAGUACUAUAAAAAUUUAAUUCCCAAGAUAAAGAGAC